CGCACGAGCGCACCCUUGCCUUUAGUUGCCAGCACAUUAUGGUGGGCACUCUAACGGGACUGCCGGUGAAAAACCGGAGGAAGGUGGGGAUGACGUCAAGUCCUCAUGGCCUUUAUGUCCAGGGCUACACACGUGCUACAAUGGGCGGUACAGAGGGUCGCAAACCCGCGAGGGGGAGCUAAUCUCACAAAGCCGUCCUCAGUUCGGAUUGGAGUCUGCAACUCGACUCCAUGAAGCUGGAAUCGCUAGUAAUCGCGGAUCAGCAUGCCGCGGUGAAUACGUUCCCGGGCCUUGUACACACCGCCCGUCACAUCACGAAAGCCGUUUGUACUAGAAGCCGGUGAUUUAACCUUCGGGAGAUAACCGUCCAAGGUAUGAGUGGUGAUUGGGGUGAAGUCGUAACAAGGUAGCCGUAGGAGAACCUGUGGCUGGAUCACCUCCUUU
rnacentral:rRNA from 1 species